rnacentral:rRNA from 1 species
UGUGGCAGGUACCCAAUCCUGCCGUGCCGAAGCUAACGCGAUAAGCAAUCCGCCUGGGGAGUACGGUCGCGAGGCUGAAACUCAAGGGAAUUGACGGGGGCCCGCACAAGCGGUGGAGCAUGUGGUUUAAUUCGACGCAACGCGAAGAACCUUACCUGGGCUCGAAAUGUAGUGGAAUCCGGCAGAAACGUCGGCGUCUAGCAAUAGACCGCUAUAUAGGUGCUGCAUGGCUGUCGUCAGCUCGUGUCGUGAGAUGUUGGGUUAAGUCCCGCAACGAGCGCAACCCUUAUCUUCAGUUGCUACCAUUUAGUUGAGCACUCUGACGAAACCGCCUCGGAUAACGGGGAGGAAGGUGGGGAUGACGUCAAGUCCUCAUGGCCUUUAUGUCCAGGGCUACACACGUGCUACAAUGGCCGGUACAAACCGCUGCAACCCCGCGAGGGUGAGCUAAUCGGAAAAAGCCGGCCUCAGUUCGGAUUGGAGUCUGCAACUCGACUCCAUGAAGCUGGAAUCGCUAGUAAUCGUGGAUCAGCAUGCCACGGUGAAUACGUUCCCGGGCCUUGUACACUCCGCC